rnacentral:rRNA from 1 species
GACGAGGGACCUAGCGUUGUUCGGAAUCAUUGGGCGUAAAGAGUAUGUAGGCGGCCUUGUAAGUCAGUUGUGAAAGCCCCGGGCUCAACCCGGGAAGUGCAAUUGAUACUGCUUGGCUUGAAUGUGGAAGAGGGUAGUAGAAUUCCAGGUGUAGUGGUGAAAUACGUAGAUAUCUGGAGGAAUACCGGUGGCGAAGGCGGCAUCCUGGACCGGCAUUGACGCUGAGGAGGCGAAAAGCCAGGGGAGCAAACGGG